rnacentral:rRNA from 1 species
CAGAGGUCUCGAGCGUUAAUCGGAAUUACUGGGCUUAAAGGGUGCGUAGGCGGCGCUGUAAGUGCCUUGUGAAAUCCCAUGGCUCAACCAUGGAAUGGCUCGGCAGACUGCAGCGCUUGAGGUCGGUAGGGGUCGCUGGAACUCUAGGUGGAGCGGUGAAAUGCGUAGAUAUCUAGAGGAACGCCAAAGGUGUAGACAGGCGACUGGGCCGAUUCUGACGCUGAGGCACGAAAGCGUGGGUAGCGAACGGGAUUAGAUACCCCGGUAGUCCACGCCCUAAACGAUGUGCACUAGAUCGUGGAGGCUCUGACGCCAUCAUGGUCGAAGUUAAAAUGCUAAGUGCACCGCCUGGGGAGUACGGUCGCAAGGCUA